rnacentral:tRNA from 1 species
ACGUCUCUAGUUUAUUAAAAUGUUAGUUUGUCGUACUAUUGAUGAGAUUUAUCUCGAGGUGUG